CCAAGAAAAGGAGGAAGAAACAACAACUGUCUGAGUUAUAUCAUAGUAUCAUUGCGUCUGUAGCCACCUAAUUCUCUAGUCUUAGCUUCCGCGUUGUUCAAUUCAAUAGUUCCCAAUUUCUGUUUUCCCCAAAUCUCAAAACCCUAGCCUAUCGAUUGAAGCUGUGCCGUCCUCAAUUGAAGCAAGUGCGACUUCAUCUGCAGUCGGGCUCUGAUCGCCAACCUCGCCUUCUUUUCUAGUUUUGAGUUCUCUGCUCGCACAUCUCACUGGCGCCAUCUUCACGCUUCUGAUCCUCGUUGCCCUCUCAGCCCCGAUUUGCAGUCUUUGGUCACCGAUUCGUUUUACAUAGUUUGCUGCUAUGCUACUGGGUUUAUUCUUCAUCAUGUUGCACUACUACCGGUGAGAUUCUUCCAGCAAGCUCUUUCUCCUCUUUUAUAUACCUGCUGCAAAUCAAGAUGGAAGCUAGUCUUAUCAUAUCAUGAUGGGUUUUUGAAUUGGAUGUUAUCUUGUAAUUGGCUAUAGCUGUGUAUUUUUCCAACCAGUAUGCUUGUUACCAAGCAUAUGGUUGAGGGGGGACUGUUAACAGUGUAGCACUUAUAUUAGUCUUUUGGCUUGUAAUACCUAUUGCCUAGCUGAGUUGUACUGUUCUCCUUAUCUAAGAAUUCACAAUGUAGUUCUUUACAGAUUUAACGUUUUCCUUUACUGCUUCCUUUUAUUUUCUGCAUCUGGCUUCAAUAAUCCAUGAUUUCUAGAAUCCUAUCAAGGUUUAAUCGUUGUUUUGGAUCUUGCUAAUGAUAAUUAUAGUAGGAUUUAUGUAGUUAUCCGUAAGAAGUCUAUUAAUUUUUUGUCUCAACUUCAAGCCUCAAACCCAAUGUACUUCGCAUAUUAGAGUGAAAAUUACAAACUGAAUUAAUUGUGAAUCAAAUGUAUUCGAUACAAUUGUGGUAGGUGCCUAGGCGGGUAGAUACUGUAGUAU